CGUCCUUCGUUAAAUCUAACUUCUUCUGGCCGUAAGUUGAUGGGAGGGAAGAAACUCCUAAAUUGAUUUUGAUUUGAAAUGUUAAACCGUAAUUUAGGGGAAGAACGUGAGAGACAGAAGAAGUAUUAGAUUGAGCAUUCUGCAGAUUUGACUAUCGAGUCGAUGAUGAUCGAUUCGGAUUCUCAUCAACUUCACUCGAAAGAAACGGCCGAAGUGACUUCGCUGCUUCCGCCGUACGAGGGGAAGACGGUGGCAUUGAAGAUGCGAUUAGGAAGCUAGUUUCCGAAUGCAACCAAGCUCAGUGAAUUUAAUAUUCCUGAAGGCUCUGUGGAUUUCAUCUUCUCAAAUUGGCUGCUCAUGUAUUUGUCUGAUGAAGAGAUACAACAAAAGAAUUUGUGGCCAAGUUGGACCUCAAGCCUGGCCAGAAGGUUCUUGAUGUUGGUUGUUGCAUUGGGGGAGCAGGCUUUUAUAUGGCGGAAAAUUUCAACGUUGAGGUUGUCAGCAUCGAUAUCUCCGUCAAUUUGAUCUCUCGAGCAUUCCAUUGGACUCGAAUGUUCCGUCAAAUUUGAAGUUGCCGAUUUUAAUAAGAAAACAUAUCCGGACCAUAAUUUUGAUGUCAUAUACAACCGUGACACCAUUUUACACUUCAAGACAAACCUUCUCUGUUCAGAUCAUUCCACAAGUGGCUGAAGCCAGGAGGAAAACUUUUUAUAACUGAUUAUUGCAGAAAUGCUGGAACUUCGUCAUCCAAAUUUGCCGAGUACAUCGUGCAAAGAGUGUAUGAUCUGCAUGAUGUAAAAACCUAUGGUCAGGAUGCUGGUUUCAGUGAAGUCGUUUCGGAGGACCGCAUGUACCAGUUUAUACAAGUUCUGCCGCGGGAACUCGAAGCCGUUGAAGAGCAAAAGGACAGAUUUAUCCAUGAUUUUUCUGAAGAAGGUUACAACAACAUCGUUUGUGGAUGGAAGGCGAAGCUGAACCGAAGUUUAUCCGGUGAGCAGGGAUGGGGUCUGUUCUUUGCCAAGAAAAUAAACUGAAUUCUGAUUGCUAAUAUAGAAUUUCCUCCUCUUGCCAAAUCAAGCUUAGCAGUAAUUGGCUAAAGUGAACCUAGUUCAACGAUCAUUGGCAUGACCUUCUUUUUUAGAGAUUGGAAGUUCGAUUCCCUAUCUCUGUAGUUAUGGUACUUAACAAUAAUAUAUUGACAUGUACUCGUUCUAUUGAGGUUAAAAGUUUAUAUCAUAGAAUACAUAUAGUUUAUAUUGUAGAUAUAUUGGACAAAUUAUAAAACUAUUUUGGUCUAUAUACUUUUGGUUAUGGUUCUUUUUGGUCUCUACACUUUCAAUAUAUUCAUUUUGGUAUUUUG